GCGUUAGAACUGUGUGGGGGCCUAUUCUGCAGUACGUUGGCCAGAAACCCUUCCACAAUGCAGCUAUGCCUUCGGUUUUCGCUAUGGACGUCAUCAUCGAGAUCAUCCCAGGCGGUUUGCCUGUGCUUUUCAAGUUUUGUAUCCUGAAAAUCAAUCGGAAAUAAUCGUUAAAGGAUUUGAAGUGUUUAAUUAAUUGUUGCAUGCAAUUUUCAACGCAGCUAUUAAUAAUUGAUUUGAGUGAUAGUACAACUCUACCUUGUCUUCGUCACGUCAAAAGGCAUCGAAUUGAAGGUAGUGAGGAAUCCAGACAACAUCGACGCAGCAAAAUGUAACGCGACACCCUCCUUCAUCUGUGCUGAAGAAUAACACACAUUUUAUAAUUGUAACAAUUGCAUCACCCAACGUUUGCAAGCUGGGACACAUUAACAACAACAGCUCUUCCCAUGGUUGCCACGCUCCCCCUCCACAGGGUGGUGAUACCUUCUUCUUUGGCUAUUCUUGCAAACGCGUGGAACACGUUCUUGUAAUUUCUUCUUUGAUCUAUAAAUACAAAGACCUUUUGGCAGUCUCCCAUCGGCAGUCAUCCUUACAAGGGCAACUUCAGCAGGAGUGCCUACAAAGGCCCCUACAGCUCCUGCUGUGCCUGCCAUGAGCGACAAUACGCCAAAGUUGGGCUUCCCGGUGUAUCUAUGCCUAUUAAAAAUACCUAAUUAAGGUUAACAAAGAGUUUAUAGAAUGAACUUUGGGCUGUGAACGU